UACAGAGGGGGCAAGCGUUGUUCGGAAUUACUGGGCGUAAAGGGCGCGUAGGCGGCCUGUUAAGUCGAACGUGAAAUCCCCGGGCUCAACCCGGGAACUGCGUCCGAGACUGGCAGGCUCGAAUCCGGGAGAGGGAUGUGGAAUUCCAGGUGUAGCGGUGAAAUGCGUAGAUAGUCUGGAGGAACAUCGGUGGCGAAGGCGGCAUCCUGGACCGGUAUUGACGCUGAGGCGCGAAAGCCAGGGGAGCAAACGGG
rnacentral:rRNA from 1 species